CAUAUUUAGAAUGGUACGUAAUAUUCUAAAUACCCCUCAACCUCAAGAAUACAAACCCUACUUCCUACUUGUUGUGCGACGGCAGACGACCUCUCCCAUCAUCGAAGACAUUUUCUGGUUCGGGCCAACUGUGGGUCGUUAGAUGUCUUGGAUUGGAACUUGCUGUCUGGAGUAGCUGAAGUGGUCAUGGGUCGAACUGGAGGGAUACAUGUGUUGGAAUUGUUGAUAUGACAUGUGAUUUUGAAACAGUUAAACUAUGAUUUCCUUUAUUGCUUCCGCUGAACAUGUUGGUUUUCAUUUAAACUUAUUGAUGGUACUUUUCAUUAAUAAUUGGCAAUUUCAUUUUUAAACUUGUUAUGAGUUCAACAUGAUUAGUGGCUCGUUAUUGGUUUGUCACACGCCUAGUAGGGUUUUCCAUGGGUGGUAUUUUGGGGGUGUGACAAAUAUCAUGACUUCCGUUGAUACUAGGGUCAGGUAUGAAGUGAUGGGUAUGUUUACAGUGUAUAGUAUGAUUUUCGUUUAUAGGGACAUAAAUUUUAAUGGCUUCAAUGAUCGAAGGUAUAGAAUUUGAUAUUCCUUGAGCUGUUAUAUUUUCCAUAGUAUUUUUAUCCAGAGAGUUUUCAUUACUAGCCUGAAUUUCUUGAUUACAUGCUAUUUCCCUUGACAUCUGAAUUACAAACAUGUUCAGAUAUAAUUAUCACAGAACUAAGCAAUUAUACAGGCACAUUUUGUUGCUCACACCAUGUUUAGCACAAUUAUAGUCAUAGCUAUCAGGAUUAUGCGUUGAUAAAUAUAUAUAUUAAGAUAUACAUAUGUACAUGUUAUAUUUUAACAUUUUCUUUUACUAUAUAUCUUAUCAAAAUAUAAGGAAAAUGUAUAUACUAUAUAUGUUGUUUCUUCCCUUGGUAUAACAUCUUUUCUCUAUAUUGCCUUA
rnacentral:lncRNA from 1 species